GACGUAGGGCGCGAGCGUUGUCCGGAUUUAUUGGGCGUAAAGAGCUCGUAGGUGGUUUGGUAAGUCGGAUGUGAAAUCUCCAGGCUCAACCUGGAGGGGUCAUUCGAUACUGCCAUGACUAGAGGUCGGUAGGGGAGUGUGGAAUUCCUGGUGGAGCGGUGAAAUGCGCAGAUAUCAGGAGGAACACCCGUAGCGAAGGCGGCACUCUGGGCCGAUACUGACACUGAGGAGCGAAAGCGUGGGGAGCGAACAGG
rnacentral:rRNA from 1 species